CCGGGGAACACAAGGGUCUCUCAAGGUACCGAGCAGAUGGUGCCUCUAGGACAGCAGAAGUUGGAGAAUCCCAGGAUAACUCAGGUUGGGAAAGACCUCUGAGAUCAUCAAGCCAAAUCUUUGGAUUGUCACCCACUAAGUGCCAUGUCCAGCCAUUUCUGGAACAGCUGCAGCAAUAAAAGCCUCAGCAAUUCCCAGGAAAAGCCCAAAG
rnacentral:lncRNA from 12 species